rnacentral:rRNA from 1 species
UACAGAGGUCUCAAGCGUUGUUCGGAUUCAUUGGGCGUAAAGGGUGCGUAGGCGGCGCGGUAAGUCGGGUGUGAAAUCUUGGAGCUUAACUCCGAAACUGCAUUCGAUACUGCCGUGCUUGAGGACUGGAGAGGAGACUGGAAUUUACGGUGUAGCGGUGAAAUGCGUAGAUAUCUGGAGGAACACCGGUGGCGAAGGCGGCGUUCUGGACUGCAACUGACACUGAGGAACGAAAGCCAGGGGAGCAAACGGG